UACGUUCCCGGGCUUUGUACACACCGCCCGUCACACCACGAAAGUCCAUUGGACCAGAAGCCGCCGGGUCUUCCGGCGAACAAGGUCUGAUUGAUGAUUGGGGUG
rnacentral:rRNA from 1 species